CUACGGGAGGCAGCAGUGGGGAAUAUUGCGCAAUGGGGGGAACCCUGACCCAGCGACGCCGCGUGAGGGAAGAAGGUUUUCGGAUUGUAAACCUCUGUCCUUGGUGAAGAGAAGAAGACGGUAGCCAAGGAGGAAGCCCCGGCUAACUACGUGCCAGCAGCCGUGGUAAUACGUAGGGGGCGAGCGUUGUCCGGAAUGAUUGGGCGUAAAGGGCGCGUAGGCGGCCAUGCAAGUCUGGAGUGGAAGUCCAUCUUUCAAGGGUGGAAUUGCUUUGGAAACUGUGUGGCUGGAGUGCAGGAGAGGUUAUCGGAAUUCCCGGUGUAGCGGUGAAAUGCGUAGAGAUCGGGAGGAACAUCAGUGGCGAAGGCGGGUAACUGGACUGCAACUGACGCUGAGGCGCGAAAGUGUGGGGAGCAAACAGGAUUAGAAACCCCGGUAGUCC
rnacentral:rRNA from 1 species